UGAGUAACCUGCCCUUAACUCUGGGAUAAGCCUGGGAAACUGGGUCUAAUACCGGAUAUGACUCCUCAUCGCAUGGUGGGGGGUGGAAAGCUUUUUGUGGUUUUUGGAUGGACUCGCGGCCUAUCAGCUUGUUGGUGAGGUAAUGGCUCACCAAGGCGACGACGGGUAGCCGGCCUGAGAGGGUGACCGGCCACACGUGGGACUGAGACACCGGCCCAGACCUCCGUACGGGAGGCAG
rnacentral:rRNA from 1 species